rnacentral:rRNA from 1 species
ACCCGCUGAACUUAAGCAUAUCAAUAAGCGGAGGAAAAGAAACCAACAGGGAUUGCCCUAGUAACGGCGAGUGAAGCGGCAACAGCUCAAAUUUGAAAUCUGGCGUCUUUGGCGUCCGAGUUGUAAUUUGCAGAGGGCGCUUUGGCAUUGGCAGCGGUCCAAGUUCCUUGGAGCAGGACGUCACAGAGGGUGAGAAUCCCGUACGUGGUCGCUAGCCUUUACCGUGUAAAGCCCCUUCGACGAGUCGAGUUGUUUGGGAAUGCAGCUCUAAAUGGGAGGUAAAUUUCUUCUAAAGCUAAAUACUGGCCAGAGACCGAUAGCGCACAAGUAGAGUGAUCGAAAGAUGAAAAGCACUUUGGAAAGAGAGUUAAAAAGCACGUGAAAUUGUUGAAAGGGAAGCGCUUGCAGCCAGACUUGCCUGUAGUUGCUCAUCCGGGUUUCUACCCGGUGCACUCUUCUAUAGGCAGGCCAGCAUCAGUUUGGGCGGUUGGAUAAAGGUCUCUGUCAUGUACCUCUCUUCGGGGAGAACUUAUAGGGGAGACGACAUGCAACCAGCCUGGACUGAGGUCCGCGCAUCUGCUAGGAUGCUGGCGUAAUGGCUGU